rnacentral:misc_RNA from 1 species
UCUUUGGAGUUUUUGGCAUCUAGACAUAAUCCUGGACCCAGCAAUUUGUUCAUACGCCUCACAAGACGAUAAUAAUAAUGUCUGACCUGAUCCUUGUUUUUGCUUUGGACACGACGGGUUAUCUUUUCGAAGUUCUUGCCAACUUGUCGUAAUGCAGUGAAGAAGCUUUCCUCCUCUUCACGUGUCCAAGCAGCCCAUUGCCGUGUUGGUUUUUUUGCUGGCUGUUGUGGCUUUUCAUUAUCU